UAGGGAAUCUUCGGCAAUGGACGAAAGUCUGACCGAGCAACGCCGCGUGAGUGAAGAAGGUUUUCGGAUCGUAAAACUCUGUUGUUAGAGAAGAACAAGGACGUUAGUAACUGAACGUCCCCUGACGGUAUCUAACCAGAAAGCCACGGCUAACUACGUGCCAGCAGCCGCGGUAAUACGUAGGUGGCAAGCGUUGUCCGGAUUUAUUGGGCGUAAAGCGAGCGCAGGCGGUUUCUUAAGUCUGAUGUGAAAGCCCCCGGCUCAACCGGGGAGGGUCAUUGGAAACUGGGAGACUUGAAUGCAGAAGAGGAGGGUGGAAUUCCGUGUGUAGCGGUGAAAUGCGUAGAUAUAUGGAGGAACACCAGUGGCGAAGGCGGCUCUCUGGUCUGUAACUGACGCUGAGGCUCGAAAGCGUGGGGAGCAAACAGG
rnacentral:rRNA from 1 species